GAUGAACGCUGGUGGCGUGCCUAAUACAUGCAAGUCGAGCGAACAGACGAGGAGCUUGCUCCUCUGACGUUAGCGGCGGACGGGUGAGUAACACGUGGAUAACCUACCUAUAAGACUGGGAUAACUUCGGGAAACCGGAGCUAAGACCGGAUAAUAUAUUGAACCGCAUGGUUCAAUAGUGAAAGACGGUUUUGCUGUCACUUAUAGAUGUAUCCGCGCCGCAUUAGCUAGUUGGUAAGGUAACGGCUUACCAAGGCGACGAUGCGUGGCCGACCUGAGAGGCAGACACGCCACACUGGACCUGAGACACGGUACAGACUCCUACGGUAGGCAGCAGUAGGGUAUCUUCCGCAAUGGGCCGAAGCCUCACGGAGCAAUGCCGCGUGAGUGAUGACGCUCCUCGGAUCGUAAGACUCUGUUAUUAGGGAAGAACAAAUGUGUAAGUAACUAUGCCCGUCUUGACGGUACCUAAUCAGAAAGCCACGGCUAACUACGUG
rnacentral:rRNA from 1 species